rnacentral:misc_RNA from 1 species
UAAUAAGUGUUUUAUGGCACUUUUUAAAUCCAUAUCACCUUGUGUGCAAUGUCAGUCGAUACUUCUUAUGGAGAUGCGACCAAACAUCAACCUUAUUUUUAACUCUUUGUCUGAAAAAUAUUAUGAAUAAACAAUUCAAAAUA